UAUUGGAAUGAGAUGGGAUUGCGUGCGGGCGUGGCCUCGUUGAAAAUUAACGAGGCAAAAACAUGUCCGUUGACCCUGAUUGGGCGAAUCUCCCGCCGGAGCUCCUAGACUCCAUAGCCAAAAAGCUUCGAAUCCACAAAGAUUAUGUCCGAUUCCGAGCCGUAUGCGCGAGCUGGAGGGGAUCGGCUUUGAAGACGCCGACGCAUCUUCCCUGCCAAUUCCCAUGGCUAAUGCUAUCGCAGAGGCAAUCCAGCAGGCUAGGGUUCUUCAGUCCUCUGGAUAAUAGGUUUCACUUCCUCAUCCUCCCGGAGGCCUCCAACCGCCGCCGCCGCUGUGGCUCCUCCCACGGCUGGCUCGUCAUCCUCGACGAGUCGCCGUCGGUCUUCAUCGUCAACCCGCUCACCCGAGCCAAACUCAAUCUCCCGCCGCUCUCCCAAUUCCCUAACGUCCUCGAUUUCAAUUUCUACAACGUCGGCCGUGAAUACACCCUCCGAUCCGAGGGCGAGAUCCAUACCUGCAGUUUGAAAGAAAUGCGCGACACGUUUAUCAAAAAGGUUGUCCUCUCCGGUAAUCCUCUGCUCCAACCGGACUUCACCGCCAUGGCGAUUCUCAACCAAACAGGGGACCUGGCGUACUGCAAAAACGGUGAGAAUUCCUGGAAUUUGAUCGACGAUGCUAGGUCAUUUUGUGAGGACGUCAUUUACAGCGACGGAUUGUUCUACGCUGUGAAUAAAUUUGGGUCAAUUGUAGUCUGCGAUGUUAACAGCGAUUCCCCUAGUCCUAGGGUUUCAUUCAUCGACACGCCAUUACAAACUGGGGGUGAUAUGCAGUAUCUGGUGAAGGUAGACGAUGGCUUUCUGCUAGUCACUCGGUAUCUAGAACUCGACGUUGAUAUCCAGAACCACCGCCUCGAUAUCGUGUACAAAACAGUCGAAUUCCGCGUGUUUAGGCUGGAUUUGAGCGGGGAGAAAUGGGAGAGAGUUACAAGUUUGGAAGAUAGGGUGUUGUUUCUGGGCGAGAAUUCUUCCUUGGCUCUAUCAACUUCAGAUUUUCCAGGAUUCAAGGGGAACAAGAUUUACUUUACAGAUGAUUAUUCCGAGAUGAACUAUGAAGGUGCUAACGCAGAUCAUGAUGUUGGGAUCUAUAACAUGGAGGAUGGUAGCUUCUCAGAAUUCCCCUGCUACCCUCGAAACCCACAUUCUGUGCUCUGCUGGCCGCCUCCGAUUUGGAUCACUCCCAACCCAUGUUAAACCUGCAAAUAUCCUUUGGUGAGCCUCUUCUGGUAGCGCUGAGGUUGUAUAACAGUGAAGCACGGCGUAAUCUGCGGUUGUGGGGAAGAAAGAGAUCGGAGAUCGGAGAUGGGAGACGGACAUGGCCACGGCGUAACUUACAAAGGCAUUACGAUCCAUCAGCCCAAGCGCUGGCACACCGUCACCGGCAAGGGCUUGUGUGCCGUCAUGUGGUUUUGGAUUCUGUACCGAGCCAAACAGGAUGGACCUGUAGUAUUGGGAUGGAGGCAUCCUUGGGAAGGUCAUGGAGAUCAUGGGAAUGAUCAUUAGGUAAGCUCUUUCACAAAUUGCAGUGCUGUGGAUGUCGGGUUCAAAGCAUGAAGGCAAUAUGAAUAACCUUACUGAACUUUGGCUUAUUCUGGGAAUGAAAGUGUCUUGUAAGAGUUCUAUUGAUUUCUGUUCAAUAAUUGACUAGAAACGGGAUUGUCACGAAUGUGAUCCAAAAGAUCAACUUAUUCUGCACUUAAUGUUACUGAAUCUAUUUUGAUGCUGUAAACUUUCAACUUUGUUGUGAUUUCUUAAUUCUAGUUGGAGAAUAACAGAAAGGUUUAUUAUGACUUGCAUCUGAACUUGAA